rnacentral:rRNA from 1 species
AUACGGAGGGUGCAAGCGUUGUUCGGAAUUACUGGGCGUAAAGCGCGCGUAGGUGGUCUGUUAUGUCAGAUGUGAAAGUCCACGGCUCAACCGUGGAAGUGCAUUUGAAACUGGCAGACUUGAGUACUGGAGGGGGUAGUGGAAUUCCCGGUGUAGAGGUGAAAUUCGUAGAUAUCGGGAGGAAUACCGGUGGCGAAGGCGACUACCUGGCCAGAUACUGACACUGAGGUGCGCAAGCGUGGGGAGCGAACAGGAUUAGAUACCCGGGUAGUCC